GUGGGGAAUAUUGGACAAUGGGCGAAAGCCUGAUCCAGCCAUGCCGCGUGUGUGAAGAAGGUCUUCGGAUUGUAAAGCACUUUAAGUUGGGAGGAAGGGCAGUAAGUUAAUACCUUGCUGUUUUGACGUUACCGACAGAAUAAGCACCGGCUAACUCUGUGCCAGCAGCCGCGGUAAUACAGAGGGUGCAAGCGUUAAUCGGAAUUACUGGGCGUAAAGCGCGCGUAGGUGGUUCGUUAAGUUGGAUGUGAAAGCCCCGGGCUCAACCUGGGAACUGCAUCCAAAACUGGCGAGCUAGAGUACGGUAGAGGGUGGUGGAAUUUCCUGUGUAGCGGUGAAAUGCGUAGAUAUAGGAAGGAACACCAGUGGCGAAGGCGACCACCUGGACUGAUACUGACACUGAGGUGCGAAAGCGUGGGGAGCAAACAGGAUUAGAUACCCGAGUAGUCC
rnacentral:rRNA from 1 species